GCCGGGCGCGGUGGCGGGCACCUGUAAUCCCAGCUACUUGGGAGGCAGAGGCAGGAGAAUCACUUGAACCCGGGAGGUGGAGGUUGCAGUGAGCUGAGAUCGCGCCACUGCACUUCAACUUGGGUGAUACAGUGAGACCCUGUCUCAA
rfam:Homo sapiens chromosome 22, GRCh38 reference primary assembly.